CAGCCGCUCCGCUGCAGGCUCCCUGCAGCCUUGAGCGGCUAACUGACCGGGAAAUGUGUGUUCUCCUGUUCCACCACCUAUGUGUCUUCGUGUCAAUCAGUAAGAUACAGAGCGGGGUUGUCGUUAAAUGUUCCAGCAGGCUGCCGCUGGGACAUUAGGUCACCCUAGUAGAUUUCAUCUGAAAACAAAGGACGUUCACUCAAGGCCAAGCAUGGAAAACAGUAGAAAAGCGAAGGUUUCUGAGCAAAUGUAAAUCCAGUCAAGGGUCUCCAGGUACAAAAUGUGGCCUAAAAGGAAGCAUUUUGAAUGGGUGCGAUUUCUGCCUGACCUGUCCCAGUCCUCCAUUGUGGUACUGGCUAUUUCCUGGAAUUGGACUGAACCUGACUCUUAUCCUCUCCCUGGCGGUUUCCCUGGAGUCUCCAUGACGGGAGAUUAGAUUCGCCGCUUCUGUUGUGCUUGACCAAGUUUUCAAUAAACUUCUUUAUUUAA